CCGCACGCGCGCUACACUGACAGGGUCAGCGAGUACAUCACCUUGGCCGAGAGGUCCGGGUAAUCUUGUUAAACCCUGUCGUGCUGGGGAUAGAGCAUUGCAAUUAUUGCUCUUCAACGAGGAAUGCCUAGUAGGCACGAGUCAUCAGCUCGUGCCGAUUACGU
rnacentral:rRNA from 1 species